GAUGGCGACCGGCGGCACGGGUGAGUAACACGUAUCCAACCUGCCGAUGACUCGGGGAUAGCCUUUCGAAAGAAAGAUUAAUACCCGAUGGCAUAGUUCUUCCGCAUGGUAGAACUAUUAAAGGAUUUCGGUCAUCGAUGGGGAUGCGUUCCAUUAGGUUGUUGGCGGGGUAACGGCCCACCAAGCCUUCGAUGGAUAGGGGUUCUGAGAGGAAGGUCCCCCACAUUGGAACUGAGACACGGUCCAAACUCCGUACGGGAGGCAGCAUG
rnacentral:rRNA from 1 species